rnacentral:tRNA from 3 species
GGAGAAGUCGCAUAGUGGCCUAGUGCGUACGCUUGGAAAGCGUAUAUAGUCGCAAGACUAUCGAGGGUUCGACUCCCUCCUUCUCCG